GUUAAUGUAGCUUAAUACAAACAAUGCACUUAAAAUGCUUAGAUGUUAUUUUUUCCCUCUAC
rnacentral:tRNA from 1 species